rnacentral:misc_RNA from 1 species
AGAAGCAACUCGACCGCGCACCGGCGGUUGGUCAUGGAGGAAGAGUCCAUCUUGUUGUGUGUCUCCCCUCCCAAAAUCAACGGCGGAAAGUCACUGGCACUCGGUGUAGUAGUAUUAUUCGCCGAUCGCCCAGUGUUGUUCCUGCCACCCAAACCCCCACAAUUCUCUC